GAGCUAAGCGAGAUUCGGUCUAGAUCGCCCUAGAUCAAGCUUUGAAGUUUGGAUUAAUCUCAGCCGUCUGAUCACAUUCCAGAUCCAAUCAGAGCCGUUAAAAAGGUCAACCUUUGAUCUACCGACCUUCACUCCAAAUCGUCAAGCAUGGAGGAUAUGAGGAUGAUCAGCAAGAGGAGGCGAUCAAGAAAAAGGGGAGGAUCGGUCGUGGGGACGCCGGAAAUCCGGCCGGGUCACCGAUCGGAGGCUGUGGCUCCUUCGAUCCAGCUUUCGGGGCAGCGGCGGAGCAAAGCGACACCAGCGGGAGGCUGGACGUGCGGAGGCGAGUCCAGUGAGGGCCGGUUCCGGGGCCGGAGAACGCCGGAGGAGGAAGAACAGGCCGGGUCGGGUCGAGCUUGACCCGUCGGGUCUGAAGGUCGAGAGAGAGAGAUCGGAGGGACUAUUCCGC
rnacentral:lncRNA from 1 species